UCCUUCUUAUCGAAGGCAGUUUUCAACGAUUUCACCCUGCAUGUCAAACCCAGGUAAGGUUCUUCGCGUUGCAUCGAAUUAAGCCGCAUGCUCCGCCGCUUGUGCGGGCCCCCGUCAAUUCCUUUGAGUUUUAGCCUUGCGGCCGUACUCCCCAGGCGGGGUGCUUAAUGCGUUAGCUUCGGCACGGACGGGGUCGAUAUCCGCCCACACCUAGCACCCAACGUUUACGGCUAGGACUAC
rnacentral:misc_RNA from 1 species